rnacentral:rRNA from 1 species
AACGAACGCUGGCGGCAUGCCUAACACAUGCAAGUCGAACGAGACCUUCGGGUCUAGUGGCGCACGGGUGCGUAACGCGUGGGAACCUGCCCUUAGGUUCGGAAUAACUCCCCGAAAGGGGUGCUAAUACCGGAUAAUGUCUUCGGACCAAAGAUUUAUCGCCUUUGGAUGGGCCCGCGUUGGAUUAGCUAGUUAGUAGGGUAAAAGCCUACCAAGGCGACGAUCCAUAGCUGGUCUGAGAGGAUGAUCAGCCACACUGGGACUGAGACACGGCCCAGACUCCUACGGGAGGCAGCAGUGGGGAAUAUUGGACAAUGGGCGAAAGCCUGAUCCAGCAAUGCCGCGUGAGUGAUGAAGGCCUUAGGGUUGUAAAGCUCUUUUAACCGGGAUGAUAAUGACAGUACCGGGAGAAUAAGCUCCGGCUAACUCCGUG